GGCUUCUCCCUUCUCCUGACUGCUCCUCUUCCUUUUUCCUCAGGACUGCUUUCCUGGUUGUUGGAGUCUGCCGUGUCUUUGCUGGGGCAGAAGAGAAAUAGGAAAGCAGAAUUGCCACUGAUGGUACACACAGAGUUUGUCUCAAUGAAAUCAGAUGUUGCUGCUAUCUUCCAUAUAUGAUUUAUAUAUUUUCAUCUGCUGGAGAUGAAAAAUGGUUUUCUUAUUGCCUCACAGCCUUUGGAAUAAUUCACUCAGAAGAAGAAGAAAAAAAAACAGGGGAAAGUUUGGCAUUCCUUCUGUACCUAAAGCUGCUUUUCAUUUUGGUUGCACUCUGUAGGGAGCAUGUGAAGAGCACUGAGUAAAGAUCAAAGAUAGCAACCAGUUAUUCUUCAUCAUUCCUGCAGCUUAAGAAACACUGUACAUCUCCCAGAAAUUUGAGCUGUAAUGAAAAAAAGUCACCUAUAAACCUUUAUUGACAACAGGCUUGUGCAAGAGGAGGCUCUCUAGUUUCCAAUUCAUGGGACUGUAUUUGAAAUGUCACUGGAACCGCCUCUGGUUUGAUGGUGGCAGCUUGUAAAAGCAUCACCUGUAAAGUGAGGGG